rnacentral:lncRNA from 1 species
GAUUAUCUUGACGUAGGUCUGUCUCUGGCCUAGAUCAACCUAAGUUAAAUGAAGUCUCUGUCGUUCUGCUGAAAAAAUGUAAUAUGAAAUUUCAUACACCUUAAAGUUCAUAUGAGGAAAAGAGAUUUUUUUGAGGUCCUUAUACUCAUUAUGCCUAGCAUUGAAUAGACUGGGUAUUCACCUUAUCAAGAUCUCAAAUCAAUGAUGGGGUCUGUUC